rnacentral:piRNA from 1 species
UGAUCUGUCUAAUGUUGACAGUAGGGUGU